CUCGGUGUGACAGUCAGUCGACUUCCUGUUGCCUGCAAGAUGUAGCACUCUCAGCUCCAGCAUCAAGUCUGCUUGCACGCUGCCAGGCUCCCCUUCAUGAUGAUAAUGGACUGAACCUCUGAAACUGACCCAAGGAUCUGAGGCGGCUCUGACAUGAAAGCCUUCUCCCUGAAGACUACCUUUUAUACUCCCCUUGGAAGUCACCAUGCAUGCCUGCUUCCAACGGAAGGCAGCAACCAUUACCUCUACCAAGUUGCAGGCCAGCAGGCAAGACUCCUGCAGACAGGCCUGACCACCACCAUCCCCCAUCGGACCCUGUCAUUUACAAGCCCCACUCCGUCCCCCAAACCCACCCAUACCCCAAGACGGCAGCUGCUCCCUGAGACACAGACUCUGCCAGCUCCGAUUGGACCAAGAGAGCCUUCAUCCAGUAACUGAGCAGAUGCAGAGA